rnacentral:rRNA from 1 species
UACAGAGGUCUCGAGCGUUGUUCGGAUUCAUUGGGCGUAAAGGGUGCGUAGGCGGCGAAGUAAGUCAGCUGUGAAAGCCUGGGGCUUAACCCUAGAAGUGCAGUUGAUACUACUUUGCUUUUAGAGGACUGGAGAGGAGAGUGGAAUUCACGGUGUAGCAGUGAAAUGCGUAGAGAUCAUGAGGAAGACCAGUGGCGAAGGCGGGUCUCUGGACAGUUCCUGACACUGAGGCACGAAGGCCAGGGGAGCAAACGGG